AUGGUCUGCGCCCCGACGGCGGGGGUGGAGGUGCUGCCGCCUCGCGGGGGUGUCUCCGCCCGGCGCUCCUGGCCGCCGAGCUGCGGCCGCGUCCCCGAGGGCGGCGGCGGCGAGAGGGGCGUCCAGGGCACGGCGGACGAGGCGGCCGGCCACGCGGGCGUUUCCUCUGCGGCGUGCAACGGCGGGCUCCCGCGCGACCCCCCUCAGCCUCAGCCGCAGUCGCCCGGCGACGGGGAUGCGCGUCCCUCGGAUGGCCAGGCAGAUAUCAGGGCGCUUGAUGUGAUGCCGCUGGCGUUCGCUGCCCCUCGGAAAUGUGCCGUUGCUCCUGCUAAUGGUUCCAUGGAAGAUGGGGGUCAUAUGGUCGAUUCGUUGAAUGUGGAGGGGCAAUUGGUCAGGGAUGAGGAUGUUGUUAUUGGCAAUGGAGAUGGCAGUGUUGUGGGAAGCAGAGUGGGCGAUGGCGAAUUGGAGAGGGAGGAGGACGAGAGCAGAAAGAAGAGGUGGUUGGCAUCUGUCAUGAAUCCGCCUCCCAAGAGAAGAGCGGUCUCAGCCAAGCGCAAAUUUCCGCCUGGCUGUGGGAGUGUUGCUGUUACCGCCAUCGGCAUCGGAGGUUGUGGUGUUUCUCCGAUGUUGAAGCGAGAUGAUUCUAAUCACGAAACGGAAGGCAAAAGAGAAGAGGUCGGAGGUGCCACCGAGGCACACAAUCAUAUGCAAGAAUCUCAAGUCGUUAAUUGUGUCGCUCCAGAUGAUUUUGCAGACCGUCCACGGAAUUAUGUUGGUCAUGGCACUUCUCCGAUUUUGAGGCGAGAUGAUUCUAAUAACGAAACGGAAGGCAAAAGAGAAGAGGUCGGAGGUGCCACCGAGGCACACAAUCAUAUGCAAGAAUCUCAGGUCGUCAAUUGUGUCGCUCCAGAUGAUUUUGCAGACUGUCCACAAAAUUAUGUUGGUCAUGGUGCUUCUCCAAUUUUGAGGCGAGCUGAUUCUAAUCACGAAACGGAAGGCAAAAGAGAAGAGGCCGGAGGUGCCACUGAGGCACACAAUCAUAAGCAAGAAUCUCAAGUCAUCAAUUGUGUCUCUCCAGAUGAUUUUGCAGACCGUCCACGAAAUUAUGUUGGUCAUGGUGCUUCUCCGAUUUUGAGGCGAGAUGAUUCUAAUGUGGAAAUGGAAGGCAAAAUAGAAGAGGUUGGAGGAGCUACCGAGGCACACAAUCAGAAGAUCCAAGAAUCUCAAGUCGUCAACGUUAUUGUUCAAGAUGGUUUUGCAAGAGACCAACAUGGCCAUGAUAAUCCACUAAAUGAUGUUACAAGCGACUCACCAAGACAUAGUUUCUUGGAGCAGAUGAAUGGUAGAAGAGUAUUACGUGAAAGGAAGCGCGCACCGCUAGUAGCGAGGAACGCUGAGAUUAGAAGCAAACGCGAAGGACGCUUGCAUCAAGGCACUCCGAGGGCUCAUCCGAGAGGCCCUCUUAAUGUGAAGAGAAAGGGCAAGAGUUCAGAGAUUGUCAAGAUCAAUGUGACAUUGGUAGAUGAUGCAGGUGUGCUUGAUGUGAUACGCUCGGCAUCUAAGUGUGGAGACCAUGUUGCGACCGAUCAAAUUGAAGAUAAGGAUGGUGUGGGCCUUAAUACUAAUAGGGUAAUUAUACAAGCAUUGAUGGCUCCAGACAGAUGCCCUUGGAUGCAACGAAAGAAAUCUAUUGGUAGUGUUCCUAAAUCGCUUGCUCCUAGGAACAAUGUGAAGAAGAAGGUUGCUACUCCAAGGAAAGAAUUGCGCUUUAAAGUUACCCCUUCUACAUCGGCUAGGCUCAAGGCAAGAGAGGACGGAGAAGAUUCCUUAGAAGAUGAUGAGAAAUCUUUGGCAGCACUUGCGCAUGAAAGAAAUAAUAAAUCAUGCGUCAACAUCCCUCGAUGUGCUCCUUCCGAUGACUCGAGUGUUGAUACCCGAAGCAAAGUUACGAAGAUUGAUGAGAGAAGUCGAUUGCUCGAUCCAAAGGAUAUACCACUUGUAGCGGGGGUUGGUGAUGUAAAAAACAAAUGUGAAGGAAGCUUGCAAGAAGGUACUUCGAGGACGCAUGUGAGAGCUCUUGUUAAUGUGAAGACAAAGGGCAAGAGACCAGAUAAUGUCAAGGUGAAUGUGACAUUGCUAGAUGAUAGGAGGGUCUUUGAAGAUGACAAGACGGGAAACCAGAUUUCAAGAACUCGAAGAGGAGUGGCGCGCUCCUCAAAUAUUAAAAACAUGAAGAAAGGCAUGUUUGCUCAUAAGUUAAAGCAUGAUGGCAUCAGCAAGGACUCUGGGAAUAGGUUCAUGAAGGAAUCUAAGUGUGGGGAUCAUCUUCCGACCGAUCAAAUUAAAGAAAAUGAUAAUGUGGGCCUUGUCACCAACAAGAUGACUGUAUUAGCAUUGAUGGCUCCUGACAAAUGCCUGUGGACAGAAGGGAAGAGGCUUAUUGCUGGUGUUUCUCAGUCUCUCACUUGUAGGAAUAAUAACUCUCUUACCGUUCGUGAAGGCCUUUGUUUGCCUGACAUAUCUCAAGGAAAAGAGAGCAUUCCCAUAUGUGUGAUCAACACAAUUGAUGGCGUGCUGCCAACGCCAUUUAAGUACAUUACCAAAGUCAUAUAUCCGCCCUCAUAUGCAAAAGCACCUUCAGUAGGCUGUGACUGCACUAACGGUUGCUCGGACUCUAGUGAAUGUGCUUGUGCUGUGAAAAAUGGAGGGGAGAUCCCAUUCAAUUUGAAUAGCGCAAUUGUUUAUACAAAGCCUCUCAUAUAUGAGUGUGGCCCAUCAUGCAGGUGCCCGCCAACAUGCCACAAUAGGGUGAGCCAGCACGGCCCCAAAGUUCCACUGGAAAUAUUCAAGACUGGGAAGACAGGUUGGGGCGUAAGAUCCCUCAGUUUUAUCCCUUCAGGUAGUUUCGUGUGCGAGUAUGUAGGUGAGGUAUUGCAAGAGACAGAAGCUGAGAGGACAGAAAAUGAUGAGUACCUUUUUGAUAUUGGUCGUGACGAUGACGAUGAUGAAGAAGAAGAAGGUCCAGAAUCUUCUAAAUCCGAGAUGACGGCGGAGGGCUUGGGCUAUACAAUAGAUGCUGCAAAGUGUGGUAAUGUUGGAAGAUUCAUCAACCAUAGCUGCUCUCCAAACAUGCAUGCACAGGAUGUUCUCUGGGACCAUGAUGAUAGGAGGAUGCCGCAUGUUAUGCUUUUCGCCGAAAAGAAUAUCCGUCCUCUACAAGAGCUUACUUACGAUUACAAUUAUAACAUAGGUAAUGUGCGCAAGAAUGGCAAGGUGAAGGAGAAGAAAUGCUUUUGCGGUUCGUCGAAGUGCCGCCUCAGGCUUUACUAA
rnacentral:rRNA from 1 species